rfam:Marinomonas sp. MWYL1, complete genome.
AACCGGAGUAGAAGCAGUCAGAUGUUUUUCAGAAGAAAUGCAUCAGGUCAUUGCUCCAUUU